rnacentral:rRNA from 1 species
CACGUAGGGCGCGAGCGUUGUCCGGAAUUAUUGGGCGUAAAGAGCUCGUAGGCGGCCUGUUGCGUCCGCUGUGAAAGCCCGGGGCUUAACCCCGGGUCGGCAGUGGAUACGGGCAGGCUAGAGGUAGGUAGGGGAGAAUGGAAUUCCCGGUGUAGCGGUGAAAUGCGCAGAUAUCGGGAGGAACACCGGUGGCGAAGGCGGUUCUCUGGGCCUUACCCGACGCUGAGGAGCGAAAGCGUGGGGAGCGAACAGG